CCUACGGGAGGCAGCAGUGGGGGAUAUUGCACAAUGGGGGGAACCCUGAUGCAGCGACGCCGCGUGGGUGAAGAAGCGCCUCGGCGCGUAAAGCCCUGUCAGCAGGGAAGAAAAUGACGGUACCUGAGUAAGAAGCACCGGCUAAAUACGUGCCAGCAGCCGCGGUAAUACGUAUGGUGCAAGCGUUAUCCGGAUUUACUGGGUGUAAAGGGAGCGCAGGCGGGACGGCAAGCCUGAUGUGAAAGCCCGCGGCCCAACCGCGGGCCUGCAUUGAGAACUACCGGGCUGGAGUGAAGGAGAGGUAGGCGGAAUUCCUAGUGUAGCGGUGAAAUGCGUAGAUAUUAGGAGGAACACCAGUGGCGAAGGCGGCCUGCUGGACGGUGACUGACGCUGAGGCUCGAAAGCGUGGGGAGCAAACAGGAUUAGAUACCCGUGUAGUC
rnacentral:rRNA from 1 species